GCUGGCGUGGCGCAACCGGUAGCGCACCUGUCUUGUAAACAGGCGGUUGGGGGUUCGAGUCCCCCCGCCAGCUCCC
rnacentral:tRNA from 1 species